AUUGAACGCUGGCGGCAGGCUUAACACAUGCAAGUCGAACGAUGACUAACUAGCUUGCUAGUUAUGAUUAGUGGCGGACGGGUGAGUAACAUUUAGGAAUCUGCCUAGUAGUGGGGGAUAGCUCGGGGAAACUCGAAUUAAUACCGCAUACGACCUACGGGUGAAAGGGGGCGCAAGCUCUUGCUAUUAGAUGAGCCUAAAUCAGAUUAGCUAGUUGGUGGGGUAAAGGCCCACCAAGGCGACGAUCUGUAACUGGUCUGAGAGGAUGAUCAGUCACACCGGAACUGAGACACGGUCCGGACUCCUACGGGAGGCAGCAGUGGGGAAUAUUGGACAAUGGGGGCAACCCUGACCCAGCCAUGCCGCGUGUGUGAAGAAGGCCUUUUGGUUGUAAAGCACUUUAAGCAGGGAGGAGAGGCUAAUGGUUAAUACCCAUUAGAUUAGACGUUACCUGCAGAAUAAGCACCGGCUAACUCUGUGCCAGCAGCCGCGGUAAUACAGAGGGUGCGAGCGUUAAUCGGAAUUACUGGGCGUAAAGCGAGUGUAGGUGGCUCAUUAAGUCACAUGUGAAAUCCCCGGGCUUAACCUGGGAACUGCAUGUGAUACUGGUGGUGCUAGAAUAUGUGAGAGGGAAGUAGAAUUCCAGGUGUAGCGGUGAAAUGCGUAGAGAUCUGGAGGAAUACCGAUGGCGAAGGCAGCUUCCUGGCAUAAUAUUGACACUGAGAUUCGAAAGCGUGGGUAGCAAACAGGAUUAGAUACCCUGGUAGUCCACGCCGUAAACGAUGUCUACUAGCCGUUGGGGUCCUUGAGACUUUAGUGGCGCAGUUAACGCGAUAAGUAGACCGCCUGGGGAGUACGGCCGCAAGGUUAAAACUCAAAUGAAUUGACGGGGGCCCGCACAAGCGGUGGAGCAUGUGGUUUAAUUCGAUGCAACGCGAAGAACCUUACCUGGUCUUGACAUAGUGAGAAUCCUGCAGAGAUGCGGGAGUGCCUUCGGGAAUUCACAUACAGGUGCUGCAUGGCUGUCGUCAGCUCGUGUCGUGAGAUGUUGGGUUAAGUCCCGCAACGAGCGCAACCCUUUUCCUUAUUUGCCAGCGGGUUAAGCCGGGAACUUUAAGGAUACUGCCAGUGACAAACUGGAGGAAGGCGGGGACGACGUCAAGUCAUCAUGGCCCUUACGACCAGGGCUACACACGUGCUACAAUGGUAGGUACAGAGGGUUGCUACACAGCGAUGUGAUGCUAAUCUCAAAAAGCCUAUCGUAGUCCGGAUUGGAGUCUGCAACUCGACUCCAUGAAGUCGGAAUCGCUAGUAAUCGCAGAUCAGAAUGCUGCGGUGAAUACGUUCCCGGGCCU
rnacentral:rRNA from 1 species